AUUGAACGCUGGCGGCACGCCUUACACAUGCAAGUCGAACGGCAGCACGGGUGCUUGCACCUGGUGGCGAGUGGCGAACGGGUGAGUAAUACAUCGGAACGUACCUUAUCGUGGGGGAUAACGCAGCGAAAGCUGUGCUAAUACCGCAUACGCCCUGAGGGGGAAAGCGGGGGAUCGCAAGACCUCGCGCGAUUAGAGCGGCCGAUGCCUGAUUAGCUUGUUGGUGGGGUAAAAGCCCACCAAGGCGACGAUCAGUAGCUGGUCUGAGAGGACGAUCAGCCACAAUGGGACUGAGACACGGCCCAGACUCCUACGGGAGGCAGCAGUGGGGAAUUUUGGACAAUGGGGGCAACCCUGAUCCAGCAAUGCCGCGUGAGUGAAGAAGGCCUUCGGGUUGUAAAGCUCUUUUGUCAGGGAAGAAACACCGGCUCUAACACAGUCUGGGAAUGACGGUACCUGAAGAAUAAGCACCGGCUAACUACGUGCCAGCAGCCGCCGUAAAAC
rnacentral:rRNA from 1 species